GCAAGGCCCCCUCCUUCCCUUCGGCUUCCGGUUCUGUCAACCCGGCGCCGUGCCGGAUUCCCGGGUGAGGCACGUGUGCUGCUGAAUGGAGCUGGUGGCCGGCAGCUACGAGCAGGUCCUUUUUGGGUUCACUAUACACCCGGAUCGUAAGGCGAACGGCGACCCCGAGCAGAAAUGGACCUCGGUGGCCGACUUCACUCACCACGCCCACACUGCCUCUUUGUCGGCCGUGGCUGUGAACAAUCGUUUCGUAGUCACUGGCAGCAAAGAUGAAACAAUUCAUAUAUAUGAUAUGAAAAAGAAGACAGAACAUGGGGCCCUAGUUCAUCACAACGGCACCAUAACUUGCCUGAAGUUCUACGGCAGCAGGCACUUAAUCAGCGGAGCCGAAGACGGGCUCAUUUGCGUGUGGGACGCGAAGAAGUGGGAGUGCUUAAAGUCCAUCAGAGCCCACAAAGGACACGUGACCUUUCUGUCCAUUCACCCGUCUGGCAAGUUGGCCCUGUCCGUGGGCACAGAUAAGACACUGAGAACAUGGAAUCUUGUGGAGGGAAGAUCAGCUUUCAUCAAAAACAUAAAACAAAGUGCUCACAUAGUGGAAUGGUCCCCGAGCGGGGAGAAAUACGUCGUCGUCAUCCUGAAUAAGAUCGAUGUCUACCAGCUGCACACCGCGGCCGUCAGCGGCACCAUCACUAAUGAAAAGCGGGUUUCCUCCAUCGCGUUUCUCUCCGACUCUGUCCUCGCGGUGGCUGGAGACGAAGAAGUAGUGAGGUGUUUUGACUGUGAAUCACUGGCGUGCCUCUGUGAAUUUAAAGCGCACGAAAACAGGGUAAAAGAUAUGUUCAGCUUUGAAAUUCCAGACCAUCAUGUUCUUGUUACAGCAUCGAGUGACGGUUUCAUCAAAAUGUGGAAGCUUAAGCACGAUAAGAGCGUCCCGCCGUCUUUACUGUGUGCAGUCAGCACUCAGGCCAGGCUGACCUGUCUCGGGGUGUGGAUAGACAGAGCGGCAAACACAAAAGCGGGCCUGUGUCCUCCAGCGGAGCCCUCUCCCGUAAGUGAGGAAGAACAGACCAGGACCAGCCAAAAGGAACCUGGUGACGUGGGCCAGGAAGGGGCAGCGUCCAAACCGAAGUCACAGAAACGUGCCUUAGCUGGUGGCAGCGCUAAGCCAGCCACAGGGAGCAGCCCUGGGCCAGAGAAGAGGAAGACAGGGGAAAUGCUGGAAAAGAAGAGAAAAAAGAAGAAAAUAUAAUGUACAAUGAGCCCCAGAUUGCUCCUCCAAAGGACUCAUUUAGAUGAAAUAACUAUUUUCAAAUACAUCUAAAUUUUUUACUAUUUCUGAGUAAAAGCAAGGAAUAUUUUCUUUGGAAGAAAAUGAGUAGCCUUUAAAGAAACCACUUUUAGAUUGGCACACAGACGUAAGAAACAGGAAUCUGAUGUCCCUAAAUACGGCACAGUAUCACAACACUGAUGGAGCAAAUGACAAUAGGAAGAUACAGAACAUUGCUUUCAUCCUCAGGGAUUGCCUGGGAGUGCAGCUUCCGGUUCCUGGGGUGUUUCCUGGUUAGCUCUUUAAGAAGAAACCAGAGUUCUAGAACAGCUGUGUGAUUUUACAUUUCUACCGGCAAUGUGUACGUGAUACACUUUCGGCAUCUUUCCAGUAGUUUGUGUCACUCUUGGUCAUCCUGUUUCCUGGAGAGAGUCGCAGGAAGGCUACUGGGGCGGAGGACCGUGGUACACGCAUGUAACUUGGGGUUUAGGGAACAUGGCUCCUCCACUAGGCCCGAGCUCUACCUGUGGCUUCUGCUUGCUGUGGUUUUUUCCACUUGCUUCUCCCUGUGGGGUUUAAAUGACUUUGUAGCUGCAGUUCCAGCCCGAGCCUUUCUGUCCAGCGGCUCCUGGGGCCGCAGCUCAAGUCAGAUCGCACAGUUCACACUCAGAAUUUCACUAUGAAGCCUGACCCCGAGAGCCAGUGGACACUUUUCCCCGUCCUCUGGCUGUGGUGCAGGUGAGUCGACCUGACCCGCACCGUCCCUCGCACUGUUUGGCUCCGUGCAGUUAGCUCAACAAGUUCAGUACUUCCAGAAGCUGCUUAGUCUCAUUUAGCAGCAGAAAGUGGGAGGGGCAGGGUGAACCCCAAGCAGCCUGUGAUCUGCAAGAUGACUCUGCAGGUCAUCUUGCUUCUGUCUGCUGACCCACCCUCAUUCCUGACUUCAUCUGCUGAUCCACUCAGGACACGUUUAUUGAUAAAGCGUCUCUGUCUGUCUGUCUCUCUGGUGUAUUUUGUUUCUUUGAGGCAGGGUCUCACAAAUGUAACCCAGGCUGUCGUUGAACUUGCAGAGAUGCUUCUGCCUCAGCCUUCCCAGUGCUGAGAUUAUAGAGUUUAUUUUGAUUGUGGAGGUGGUAGAGAUUGAAUCCAAAGCUUCACACAUGAUAAACAAGCCCUCUCCCAUUGAAGCACACUGCCAACCCCUAGGUUGCAGCUGCCAGUGGAAGAUCAAGGAAGGCUUACAGGACGUGAGGGAGUGAGCAGAGAAGGUUCCAGGCACCUGAAGGAGCACUUUGGAGGAAGAAGUCCGUGGCAACAAAAACAGGGAAGGGAGCAGGCACUGAGGCUGGGGGUCCAUGUGCAGGCUUUGCAAGCCAAAGCUUGAGGGAAAGGCGCCACCAAAGGCUUUUCUGGGCACAGGAAAGAACUGGAUUUGAACCUAGGUCUGAGAACAGACUGAAGGAUUACAGCACUUGGGAGCUCCCUCUGAUCUCCACGUGUGGAUCAGGAAACAGUCUUAGUCCUCCUGAGUGGGACUGCUGUAAAGGCUGGAUGGAUGCUCUUCAGUUUCCAGUAUACAGUCGCCCGGCAUAUGCCUUUGCUAAUGCUCUUACAGCUCUGAUACAGGAGAUGGAGAAGUGCCUGGCAAUAGGGAAGGCUGACAAAAUGGGGAAUUUCUUCAUAAUCUUACUUAGUAAUUCCUUGGGAAAAGGUGUAUUGAAUGGAUGAUCUUGGUUUCUAAUAAAGCUAUAAACUAUUAAAAGAA